GCUAGGGAGCAGUCGCCUGAGAAUCAAUUUUUCUCGGUCGACGCUUGUGAGACGUUGGAUCAAACAUCAAGAUUCGUGGAGCAAGAAGAAAUCGCAUAGUUGUACGAAUAAAUAAGGCAACAUCCAUUUACGGACAGUAUAAUCAUCUUGUUCUGGUGGUCUUGUGCUCGGGUUCUCUAGAUUCGAAUCCUCAUCUCGUCAGAUUUAAUGAAGUUUCUAAUUCUUCAGUUUUUUCUUUUUUCUUUCUUCUUUCUUCACUUAGUUAGAAUGGUGCACAAAAUUUCACUGCAAUUUUUAGAAUCAGGUACAAAAUUUCACUGGUAAUUAGAAUCGCGUAUAAAAUUUCGCGUGCAAUUUUUAGAACUGUGCACAAAAUUUAACGUGCAAUUAGAAUCGCGCAUAAAAUUUCACGUGCAAUUUUUAGAAUAACGCAUGAAAUUUUUAAAAUCGCCAUAUAGUUUCAGGUGCAAUGUUCAUAAUUGUGUACUCUGAUACCUGCUGUCAUUAAUUUCACUUUUUUUGUGAAUAGAGUUGAGACUAUUUUUUGUGGAAUCUAUCCAAGGCCCUGGUCAAAGAAAAAAAAACACAAAAUACACCCACACACACACAGACGGAGGGAUGCAAGGGGACGGAGAUAGGUGGGUGUUUUGCUAAUCACGCUAAUCACAGGCUGCAAGUGGCCGUCGACUCAGUGGUAGGCGUUCCCUUUUUUCUUAACCCACUAACCCUGGAGAAAAUCGCAUGAAUAUUCUCUGAAUAAAAUAAGCUUCUUGUUUUUAACCUGGAGCAAGUUCAAGGCAUAAAACCGAUGUCACAUUUCUUGUGAGAGUAUAUCAUUUUCAUCCAUAGGAG
rnacentral:lncRNA from 1 species